rnacentral:piRNA from 1 species
UUUUCCGUUCAAAAAAAGUCA